rnacentral:lncRNA from 1 species
GUCACCCAGGCUGGAGUGCAGUGGCGUGAUCUCGGCUCACUGCAAGUUCCACUUCCCAGGUUCAUGCCAUUCUCCUGCUUCAGCCUCCCGAACAGAUGGGUCUACAGGCGCCCGCCACCAUGCCCAGCUAAUUUUUUUGUAUUUUUUUUUUUCAGUAGAGACGGUGUUUCACCAUGUUAGCCAGGAUGGUCUUGAUCUCCUGACCUCGUGAUCCACCCACCUCGGCCUCCCAAAGUGCUGGGAUUACAGGCAUGAGCCACCACGCCCGGCCAAGUGGAAUGAAUUUUCAAGAGCAUUGAAGUUACCGAGCCCUCUGGCACAAAUGGAAGAAGAAAGAAGGGAGCAAGUAGCUAAAAUUAAGAAGAUGGAGAUGGAGAUGGAGCAGGUGUUUGAGAUGAAGGUCAAAGAAAAAGUUCAAAAACUGAAGGACUCUGAAGCUCAGCAGGUACAGCGGACCUUCCUGGCAUCAGAAAAAGGCCUCCAGAAAAAGAGACAUAGGUACUAGCAAUUCCAAAUUAUCCAGAGCCCUUCUAAGUUGUAAGAUCUGAAGGAAAUGUCUGCCAUCUAUAUUCUCAGCCACACUUAGUUUCUUAAUCUGCAAGAUGGAAUUAAUAAUAUUACUUACUUUAUGAUGCUGUUGCAGAAAUUCACUGAGUUGCUACA